GCCUGGCGACGGGGCGGGGCGCCCUGCGCGGCCGGCCGCCUCCGCUGCCCGCUGCCCUGCGCGGCCGCCCUGCGCUCGGGGUUAGCCGGAGCGCUGGUCCCGCGGGCGUGCGCGUCCCUGCGGCGGUGUCCCCGGAGCUCCGGCUGCUCGCGCGCGGGCCGGCUGCAGCACCCCGGCCCCGUGGCCCAGCCGGCAGAGGGAGCGCGGGAGCGCGGGCCCCCGAGGUGCUGCCCCGGGCCCCCCACACGUGAGCGCGAGGGAGGGCGACGCGCCUGUGACGCCUUGUCCCUUGUUUUGUGUUUAGACGGUGAGACAAACCGGACCCGGGUUCUUCGUGUCACCCGCGGGUCGGCCCGCACGACAGGUGCCCAGAGCUCCGCUCCCCGCGCGCACCCUGUGGCCACCUCGGGGGGCUUUCGUGCCUCCGUCCCCUGACGAGCGACAGCAGCCUCCUCCUAAAGGCCCCGGAGCUUUUCCUGGGACGCUGCGUCCGAGUGGGCCUACGAGAGCGCGACGACAGCCCGCGCCUCGCGAAGGGUCUGGAGGCCUCCUCUCGCGUCCGGGGCGACCCGAGACCCACGCCGGGGGCCGGGGCAGUCCGGGGACAAAGGGACGCCCUGGCGCGUGGCGUACGUGCUCUGCUCCUCGCGCGACGUUUCUGCCGUGUCUUUCUGACCCGUGGCCUUCUUCCCACGCGAUGGCAGUUCUGAUACGCGGUGUACGUCGCUUCUUGGCCUUUGGGCAUCAGCCGUCAGGUCCCGUUCUCCGGGACUCGCAUCUGCCUGCCGGGGACGGGACGCGGCUGCUGGCACGCUGCUCCGGAGCGUUCGCACCCGGGCGGCGAGUCUUCGCGAGUCGAGUAGCUCCCUGACUGCCCCGGUGGUUUUGCGGUGCUCAUAGUGGGUGCUCCUCGCACGGACUCCUCCGAUCCUGAGUUUCUUCUGACUCCUGGGAUGUAAGACAAGUGACUCCGGCCGAGCGGUGGUCGUGCAAGUCGGCCGCCAAGCUGAGCGACGGCGCAGCCUUGACUCCCGGGGUCCCCGCUGCAGGGGAACAGGGGGCUGAGCGUAGUGAAGGUGCACCACGGGGAGCGCCGUCCUUGGGAGCAGAAGCCGGGACAGCCAGGCAAUGCGCGCCUUAUCAGGAGCUUUUCCAUCAGCGCUUCAGACACUUCCGUUGCCAGGAGGUCCCGGGCCCCGCGAGGCGCUGAGCCGGCUCCGGGAGCUCUGCCGACGCUGGCGGCGGCCCGACACGCACAGCAAGGAGCAGAUCGCGGAGCUGCUGGUGGGGCAGCAGUUCCUGACCCUCCUGCCCGAGCGAGGGGCUGCAGGCCUGGGCGCGGGGAUGUCGUCCCGGGAGCGGGGAGCAGGCGGUGACUGUGCCGGAGAGCCUGGAGACAGAACUUGGAGAUAAAAGACAACAGGUUCAAGCCAGUGCACACUACAGACAAGAAGUGCUAUGAAGGGAGUAGGACUUAUAAGCCUUGCAGAGCGGCUGCUGACUAUCCAGCCAAAGUGCUAUCUUUGGGAGUACAGUCCUGUGCAAGAGAAUGGUAAACAAAGAGCACAGGCUUUGGAUUCCCACAGACCUGUGUUCUAGGCCAGACUUGACUGCUUACCUGCCAUGUGAUCAUAGGCCACUUAUGUGCAGUGAGUGUCAAAAACCAUUAGGAUGGGCGCCUGGGUGGCUCAGUUGGUUAAGCGACUGCCUUCGUUCGGCUCAGGUCAUGAUCCUGGAGUCCCCAGAUCGAGUCCCGCAUCGGGCUCCCUGCUCGGUGGGGAGUCUGCUUCUCCCUUGACCCUUCCCCCUCUCAUGUGCUCACUCUCUCUCAUUCUCUCUCUCUCAAAUAAAUAAAUAAAUAAAAUCUUAAAAAAAAAAAAA